rnacentral:rRNA from 1 species
AGAGUUUGAUCAUGGCUCAGAUUGAACGCUGGCGGCAGGCCUAACACAUGCAAGUCGAGCGGCAGCGGGAAAGUAGCUUGCUACUUUUGCCGGCGAGCGGCGGACGGGUGAGUAAUGCCUGGGAAAUUGCCCAGUCGAGGGGGAUAACAGUUGGAAACGACUGCUAAUACCGCAUAAUCUCUCAGGAGCAAAGCAGGGGACCUUCGGGCCUUGCGCGAUUGGAUAUGCCCAGGUGGGAUUAGCUAGUUGGUGAGGUAAUGGCUCACCAAGGCGACGAUCCCUAGCUGGUCUGAGAGGAUGAUCAGCCACACUGGGACUGAGACACGGCCCAGACUCCUACGGGAGGCAGCAGUGGGGAAUAUUGCACAAUGGGCGCAAGCCUGAUGCAGCCAUGCCGCGUGUAUGAAGAAGGCCUUCGGGUUGUAAAGUACUUUCAGCGAGGAGGAAGGCGUUGUGGUUAAUAACCGCAGCGAUUGACGUUACUCGCAGAAGAAGCACCGGCUAACCCCGUGCCAGCCGCCGCGGUAAUAC